UAGGGAAUCUUCGGCAAUGGACGAAAGUCUGACCGAGCAACGCCGCGUGAGUGAAGAAGGUUUUCGGAUCGUAAAACUCUGUUGUUAGAGAAGAACAAGGACGUUAGUAACUGAACGUCCCCUGACGGUAUCUAACCAGAAAGCCACGGCUAACUACGUGCCAGCAGCCGCGGUAAUACGUAGGUGGCAAGCGUUGUCCGGAUUUAUUGGGCGUAAAGCGAGCGCAGGCGGUUUCUUAAGUCUGAUGUGAAAGCCCCCGGCUCAACCGGGGAGGGUCAUUGGAAACUGGGAGACUUGAGUGCAGAAGAGGAAGGUGGAAUUCCAUGUGUAGCGGUGAAAUGCGUAGAUAUAUGGAGGAACACCAGUGGCGAAGGCGGCUCUCUGGUCUGUAACUGACGCUGAGGCUCGAAAGCGUGGGGAGCAAACAGG
rnacentral:rRNA from 1 species